rnacentral:rRNA from 1 species
GGGUGAGUAACGCGUGGAGAACCUGCCGUAUACUGGGGGAUAACACUUAGAAAUAGGUGCUAAUACCGCAUAAGCGCACAGCUUCGCAUGAAGCAGUGUGAAAAACUCCGGUGGUAUACGAUGGAUCCGCGUCUGAUUAGCUGGUUGGCGGGGUAACAGCCCACCAAGGCGACGAUCAGUAGCCGGCCUGAGAGGGUGAACGGCCACAUUGGGACUGAGACACGGCCCAAACUCCUACGGGAGGCAGCAGUGGGGAAUAUUGCACAAUGGGGGAAACCCUGAUGCAGCGACGCCGCGUGAGUGAAGAAGUAAUUCGGUAUGUAAAGCCCUAUCAGCAGGGAAGAAAAUGACGGUACCUGACUAAGAAGCCCCGGCUAACUACGUGCCAGCAGCCGCGGUAAUACGUAGGGGGCAAGCGUUAUCCGGAUUUACUGGGUGUAAAGGGAGCGUAGACGGCAGCGCAAGUCUGAAGUGAAAUCCCAUAGCUUAACCAUGGAACUGCUUUGGAAACUGUGCAGCUGGAGUGCAGGAGAGGUAAGCGGAAUUCCUAGUGUAGCGGUGAAAUGCGUAGAUAUUAGGAGGAACACCAGUGGCGAAGGCGGCUUACUGGACUGUAACUGACGUUGAGGCUCGAAAGCGUGGGGAGCAAGCAGGAUUAGAUACCCUGGUAGUCCACACAGUAAACGAU